GAAUAUUGGACAAUGGGCGCAAGCCUGAUCCAGCCAUGCCGCGUGAGUGAUGAAGGCCUUAGGGUUGUAAAGCUCUUUCAGUGGGGAAGAUAAUGACGGUACCCACAGAAGAAGCCCCGGCUAACUUCGUGCCAGCAGCCGCGGUAAUACGAAGGGGGCUAGCGUUGUUCGGAUUUACUGGGCGUAAAGCGCACGUAGGCGGAUUGGUCAGUUAGAGGUGAAAUCCCGAAGCUCAACUUCGGAACUGCCUUUAAUACUGCCAGUCUAGAGUCCGGAAGAGGUAAGUGGAACUCCUAGUGUAGAGGUGGAAUUCGUAGAUAUUAGGAAGAACACCAGUGGCGAAGGCGGCUUACUGGUCCGGUACUGACGCUGAGGUGCGAAAGCGUGGGGAGCAAACAG
rnacentral:rRNA from 1 species